rnacentral:rRNA from 1 species
ACUGCUCAGUAACACGUGGAUAACAUGCCCUAAGGUGGGGGAUAAUCUCGGGAAACUGAGGAUAAUACCCCAUAGAUCUAGAAUGCUGGAAUGCUUUUAGGUCCAAAACUCCGGUGCCUUAGGAUUGGUCUGCGGUCUAUCAGGCAGUAGUGGGUGUAACGGACCCACUAGCCCGUGACGGAUAUGGGCCUUGAGAGAGGGUGCCCAGAGAUGGACUCUGAGACAUGAGUCCAGGCCCUACGGGGCGCAGCAGUCGCGAAAACUUCGCAAUGGGGGAAACCCCGACGAGGGAAUUCCAAGUGCCAGCACUUUGUGUUGGCUGUUCUUCUGUCUAAAAAACAGGAGAAGUAAGGGGCGGGUAAGACGGGUGCCAGCCGCCGCGGUAAUACCCGCGCCCCGAGUGGUGGUCGAUAUUAUUGAGCCUAAAACGUCCGUAGCCGGUCUUCUAAAUCCUUGGGUAAAUCGGGCAGCUUAACUGUCCGAAUUCCGGGGAGACUGGGAGACUUGGGACCGGGAGAGGUCAGAGGUACUUCUGGGGUAGGGGUAAAAUCCUGUAAUCCUGGAAGGACCACCGGUGGCGAAGGCGUCUGACUAGAACGGAUCCGACGGUGAGGGACGAAGCCCUGGGGCGCAAACGGGAUUAGAUACCCCGGUAGUCCAGGGUGUAAACGCUGCGGGCUUGGUGUUGGGGGUCCUUAGUGGGCGCCCAGUGCCGGAGAGAAGUUGUUAAGCCUGCUGCUUGGGGAGUAUGUCCGCAAGGAUGAAACUUAAAGGAAUUGGCGGGGGAGCAC